rnacentral:rRNA from 1 species
GACGUAGGGCGCGAGCGUUGUCCGGAUUUAUUGGGCGUAAAGAGCUCGUAGGCGGCUUGUCGCGUCGAAUGUGAAAUCUCAGGGCUCAACUCUGACAUUGCAUUCGAUACGGGCAGACUAGAGUGUGGUAGGGGAGACUGGAAUUCCUGGUGUAGCAGUGAAAUGCGUAGAUAUCAGGAGGAAUACCGAUGGCGAAGGCAGGUCUCUGGGCUGACACUGACGCUCAUGCACGAAAGCGUGGGGAGCAAACAGG